GUGCAAGCUUUUAAAUUUAGUUUGCAAGCUGCGGUGGCUCCCAGCCAGCAGUCCCCAGCCCCAGAGGAAGCCCAUGCAGCACCUUCAUCCUCCCUUGCACGCUGGACUCAUGAUGAGAAAGAUUCGGACCACAGGGUGAGAAGCAGCCCAUAGCUUGUUACCUGUUUAUCCGAAGGACAGAUCGGUGCUCAAGAAAGGUGGCGACACGGAGGCCCAGAGUGAGGAAGUCAUGUAUUCAAGGUGGCAGAGCUGGGAUUUGUAUAUCAUCUCUGUACCUGAGCCCCUAACCUGCAAGUCAUAAUAGGCAACGGAUCAAUGUUAUGAUGCAGUGGAGGCCCUUACCAGAAGCCAACCAGAUGCCAGCACCAUGCUCUUGGAUUUCCCAGUCUCCAGAAUGGUGCAGGUGGAGACGGAACCCUAGACACUGCUCAUCCCAAUCAGGCCCUUUCCAGGCCUGUCCCAUUCCAAUCGGGCAUCAGAUGUGGCAUUGAUCAUCAUCUACUUAACAAACGAGGCUCCCCUUUCAAUGCACUUGGGUCUCCUCUGGGCCAACCUUGGUUCUGAGAUAGCAGGUGCUGAAAUACUGCUGAAUCCUCAAAGCCAGACUAGCCAGUGCCUGGCACCUGAUGGGAAUAUGAUUUCAACGAACAGCUCACAGAAUCCUCCCCACAAAGCCGAGAAGCAGGAAGCAGCAACCCUCCCAGAUGAAGAAGCGAAGGCUCGGAAAAGCUAAGUAACUUCUCCAAGCUGACGCAGCUCGUGAGAGGAGGGACUGGGAUUCAAAUCCCUGCAGGGGGAGACCAGCAGCCCCGACUUCAGCCGCCAUGCCUCCUGCCUGAGAAGCUAGCUGCGAAGGUUCCAGAAGGAGACUGCCCUCCGGGAACAGAAACAGCGCAUGACUGCGACCUGUCUGCAAAAAUCUUGAUCACUUGUAAAUCCUUCUCCACCUGAUAAGUUAUCACAUUGGCUCAUGAUGUUUUUUUUCAUUCUCAGUGAGUUCAAAAUACUAUUUUGGUUUGUCUCAGUUUCUUCCUCUCUCUCUCUCUCUCUCUCUCUCUCUC
rnacentral:lncRNA from 1 species